rnacentral:rRNA from 1 species
CCUUUGUACACACCGCCCGUCGCUACUACCGAUUGAAUGGCUUAGUGAGGUCUCCGGAUUGUCUUUGGGGAUCCGGCAACGGAACCCCGUUGCUGAGAAGUUGAUCAAACUUGGUCAUUUAGAGG